rnacentral:rRNA from 1 species
AAACGAUGCCACCAGCAAUCCGCCUGAGUUCUUUAAAUGACUCGGCGGGCGGCUUCCGGGAAACCAAAGUUUUUCGGUUCCGGGGGAAGUAUGGUUGCAAAGCUGAAACUUAAAGGAAUUGACGGAAGGGCACCACCAGGAGUGGAGCCUGCGGCUUAAUUUGACUCAACACGGGAAAACUCACCCGGCCCGGACACUGGAAGGAUUGACAGAUUGAGAGCUCUUUCUUGAUUCAGUGGGUGGUGGUGCAUGGCCGUUCUUAGUUGGUGGAGCGAUUUGUCUGGUUAAUUCCGAUAACGAACGAGACUCUAGCCUACUAAAUAGACCACCGGCUUCUUUGUACGUCGGUGGGACUUCUUAGAGGGACUGGCGGCGGUUCAGCCGCACGAAACAGAGCAAUAACAGGUCUGUGAUGCCCUUAGAUGUCCGGGGCCGCACGCGCGCUACACUGAAGUGAUCAGCGUGCUUUCCAAUCCUGCUCUGCUAAGAGUGGGUAACCCAAUGAACCUUCUUCGUGAUUGGGAUAGGGGAUUGUAAUUAUUCCCCUUGAACGAGGAAUUCCCAGUAAGCGCGAGUCAUCAGCUCGCGUUGAUUACGUCCCUGCCCUUUGUACACACCGCCCGUCGCUACUACCGAUUGAAUGAUUUAGUGAGGUCUUCGGACUGGCUGGCGAGGCUGCCUCGGUGGCCACGCUAUGUUUGGAAAGAUGCCCAAACUUGAUCAUUUAGAGGAAGUAAAAGUCGUAACAAGGUUUCCGUAGUGACCUGCGGAGAUC